GUUGGCGCCAUGUUAGGCCGGCAGGUGGAGGCGGUGCUGCUGCUCUGGCUGAGCUGCUGUGUCUUGGCUGUGUGGAGAUACUCCAUGAAAAGCACAAUAUAUUCGAUCUUUAGUACCAGGAGUUCUAUCAUCCUAGAGUAUGAAGGAGACACAUUUAAAUCGUGGGAUAUACCGGAAGGUUGUAAAGUUCAAAACAAAUCAUCACCCAAGACAUUGCUAUACUGUAAAACGCCUGGUAAUCACAAGAUAAGCCCAAUCAACAUCAACGACAUGCAGGAAGAUGAACGGCUCCUGACUGUGGAUAGUUCUAACAUUUGCUUCUUGUGGUAUUACACAGUUGUGUAAGUAAAACACAAUAUAAAGGUAA
rnacentral:lncRNA from 1 species